rnacentral:rRNA from 1 species
CUACGGGUGGCAGCAGUAAGGAAUAUUGGACAAUGGGCGAAAGCCUGAUCCAGCCAUGCCGCGUGAAUGAAGAAGGCCUUAGGGUUGUAAAGUUCUUUUAGUGGUGACGAUAAUGACGGUAGCCACAGAAAAAGCUCCGGCUAACUCCGUGCCAGCAGCCGCGGUAAUACGGAGGGAGCGAGCGUUGUUCGGAAUUACUGGGCGUAAAGGGUGCGCAGGCGGCUUAGUAAGUUGGGAGUGAAAUCCCCGGGCUCAACCCGGGAAUUGCUUUCAAAACUACUAAGCUAGAGUCUCGGAGAGGUUAGCGGAAUUCCUAGUGUAGAGGUGAAAUUCGUAGAUAUUAGGAGGAACACCAGUGGCGUAAGCGGCUAACUAGACGAGUACUGACGCUCAGGCACGAAAGCGUGGGGAUCAAACAGGAUUAGAUACCCCAGUAGUC